rnacentral:rRNA from 1 species
GUAGGGUGCAGGCGUUAAUCGGAAUUACUGGGCGUAAAGCGUGCGCAGGCGGCUCCUUAAGUCAGAUGUGAAAUCCCCGGGCUUAACCUGGGAACUGCGUUUGAAACUGGGGAGCUAGAGUGUGGAAGAGGGGGGUGGAAUUCCAGGUGUAGCAGUGAAAUGCGUAGAGAUCUGGAGGAACACCGAUGGCGAAGGCAGCCCCCUGGGCUAACACUGACGCUCAUGCACGAAAGCGUGGGGAGCAAACAGGAUUAGAUACCCUGGUAGUCCACGCCCUAAACGAUGUCAACUAGUUGUUAGGGAAGCAAUUCCUUGGUAACGAAGCUAACGCGUGAAGUUGACCGCCUGGGGAGUACGGCCGCAAGGUUA